rnacentral:lncRNA from 1 species
GUUCUCCCAGAGCCCCGGACACAGCCCGCCCAGCCUGGAAGUCCUGCCUCAGAGGCGCAGGGGGGUAAAAGCGUGUUCCCUGGGCUGUGCUGGCAGGUCCCAGCGGCAGGUCACACCAGCGAGCGAGUGAGCCUCCUCAGGGCAAGUGGGACAAGAGCCAAGCCAGCCCACUUGGGGGGCUCUGCUCCCCUGCUAGACCCCCUCCUGGUCACCACGCACUGCACCCUGGGAGACGUCAGUGCCGAGGGCAGGUGGGGGGAAGGUACAGGCUGCCCACCCCACGCUACCACGUCCAUGGCCAGCAGGGCUCUCUUAGGAGACCCAGCGGGCGAGGGGCUGGGUGAGAGAGCACAGCAGCACAGUCCACCUGGAUCCCCAUGUCCUCAGAGCCUGGGUGGAGCUCUGUUGUCACAGCGGCAGGAGGGGCCACCCCCUGUCCUGCCCACCACGCUCUGGGAACCCCUCCCCCAAUUCCAGGGACCCUGGAGGGCAGCGGUGCCAUCUCCUCAGGACAGUGAGUCAGGGUGGGCCUCAAAUUCAUGUCCACCAGAACUGGCAAAGGGGACCUUAUGUGGGAAAGGGGUCUUCGCAGAAGUCACCAGCCAAGGCGAGACACACUGUGUUAGGGUGCGCCCUAACUCCAAUGGCUGGUGUCCUACAAAGAGAGGGAUGUCUGGACACAGACCCAGGGGGAAGAGAGACCUGUGAAGAUGGGCGGGGGUUGGGAUGGUGCAGCCACCCGCCAGGGUCCCUCGGCACUGCCGUCACCGCCAAGGCCAGGAGGGGCAAGGAGGACCCGCCCCUGGCUCCUCGCGGAGAGCAGCGUCCCGCCGACACCUUCUUCUGAGACCUUCUGAGAGCCCCAGCGUUCACAGGAGACGGACGCAGGCUACCAGGGCUAUGUGCUCCCAGACAUCAAGGCUCCUCCUGUGAGUGCUGGGGAGUGGGAAAGGGUGGGAAGAGCCAGCACAGAGGGUCUCCUGGCCAUGUGUCUGCAGCUCGAGGACCAACUCGUCAUGAAGUGAUAAAAUGUGGCUAGUUGAAGUAAACAGCCGUAAACUUAAAGUGGUAUUAAAAAAAAAUACACCGACAGUUUUGAUACAAAAAAGGAUGUUUGGCUUACGUCCUUUCAAUGCCCAGGGAAGGUGCUUCCACUCCUCCUCUGCUGCGGUGUCUGUGA